CAAGGAAUUUUGGGCAAUGGGCGAAAGCCUGACCCAGCGACACCGCGUGAGGGAAGAAGGCCUUCGGGUUGUAAACCUCUUUUCUUGGGGAAGAAUUAUGACGGUACCCAGGGAAUAAGCCUCGGCCAACUACGUGCCAGCAGCCGCGGUAAUACGUAGGAGGCAAACGUUAUUCGGAUUUACUGGGCGUAAAGGGAGCGUAGGCGGUUCCUUAAGUCAGAUGUGAAAUCUUCUGGCUUAAUCAGAAGGUGUCAUUUGAUACUGAGGGGCUUGAGAGCAGCAGAGGGAAAUGGAAUUUCCGGUGUAGCGGUGAAAUGCGUAGAUAUCGGGAAGAAUACCAGUGGCGAAGGCGAUUUCCCAGGUUGUUUCUGACGCUGAGGCUCGAAAGCGUGGGGAGCGAAGCGGAUUAGAUACCCGCGUAGUCCACGCCCUAAACGGUGGACACUAGAUAUAGGAGGUAUCGACCCUUUCUGUGUCGAAGCUAACGCUUUAAGUGUCCCGCCUGGGGAGUACGGCCGCAAGGCUG
rnacentral:rRNA from 1 species